CCUACGGGUGGCAGCAGUGGGGAAUAUUGGGCAAUGGAGGCAACUCUGACCCAGCAACGCCGCGUGAAUGAUGAAGGUCUUCGGAUUGUAAAGUUCUGUGAUGGGGGAUGAACACAAUGACGGUACCCCAAUAGCAAGCCACGGCUAACUACGUGCCAGCAGCCGCGGUAAUACGUAUGGGGCAAGCGUUAUCCGGAUUUACUGGGUGUAAAGGGAGCGCAGGCGGCCUGCCAAGUCUGGUGUGAAAACCCGGGGCCCAACCCCGGGCCUGCAUUGGAAACUGGCGGGCUGGAGUGUCGGAGGGGCAGGCGGAAUUCCUAGUGUAGCGGUGAAAUGCGUAGAUAUUAGGAGGAACACCGGUGGCGAAGGCGGCCUGCUGGACGAUGACUGACGUUGAGGCUCGAAAGCGUGGGGAGCAAACAGGAUUAGAUACCCUUGUAGUC
rnacentral:rRNA from 1 species